GAUCUUGGAGAGCGGGCGGCAAAAUGGCGGCGCAAGCAGCUCUGGGGCUCGUGUGUCGGCGCCUUUGGCAGGGCCCGAGGAGCUUGCCUGCCGCCUGCCGGAGGAGCAACCCGGCCAGCACUGGCGGCUUUCUUCUCACCUGCAGGGAGUGGGUGCAGUGUUCGAACCUACACGUCGAUCUCCCCAAGGACGUGACCAAGCCCACGGUACGUGCUCCUGUUUCCUGGUUAAGGGGUUAGAUUAGUAGUGAGGGUUCUUCUUUCCUUGUGGGGUUGGGUCCCCAACAGCUGCGGAAGUUAAAAGUCUUCCUCGCGUGCCUGAGAGAAGUGUUCUCUGACCCACUUGGCUGCUCAUGUCAUCCCUGAUGAGGGUUUCCAGAUAAGUUCAGGAGGGUAAAUUAUUCACCCCCAGAUAACUAGAAAUGAGCAGUCCCUUGCUCUUAGCUCAGCCUAGCGUGAAAUGCCCCAUCUGUUCUACUUCAUUAGCAGCACACUGACGUUACAGGUUGUGGGAAAGUAGCUGCUCAGGGCCCUCAAAUCCGUGUUUUCCUUUUAACAUGCUGAAACUGGGCCUUGGCCCCGGCCUGGCUUUGAACACUGCUUUAGCUUCACAGUAAGAAAGGACAUGGCCACAGAGGGAAAUUGAGAAACAGCUGGGUAGUCUAGAUUUUUUUUCAGUAAAAGCUGUGAUUCCAGCUAUCCAGUUUUUAUGCUUAAAAUUGUUAAAAAUCCAUACUUAUUAAGCUUCAAUUAUAGUUCAGUAUGGCUUAAAUGUACUCCCCACCUUCAAGCGCCACCCC